rnacentral:tmRNA from 1 species
GGGGGCGCACUGGUUUCGACGGGAAUGUAUGAAACCGUAAUUGCGGGCCGAGGCGCCGCUGGCCUCGUAAAAAGCGGCAAAACAGUAAUUGGCAACGAUUACGAAUACGCUUACGCUGCUUAAUUAAAAGCAGCGCCAAGACAAAAGCUGACGCCUGAUAAACCUUUGUUUUGGUCAAAAAUCAUCAGGCUGGCGCUGUGGAACCGCCUUCCGUAAACAGCGCGAGCAUUUCAGGGGGGCUGGCAGCAAAACGCCCUGACUAGGGGCUACCCUUGCUGUAAGAGUUUAUACCCGGUCUACGCCCGUAGACGUUGCGCGUGGAAUGUUUUCGGACGCGGGUUCGAUUCCCGCCGCCUCCACCA